GAAAAGAAAGCAAAAGCGAUUUCCCAAGUAACGGCGAGUGAACAGGAAUAAGCCUAGCGCUAAGGCUCAAUAGGAUGGUUGGCAGCAAUGUUGAUCGUCGUUUUCGACAAGCUAUUGAGCGGUGCAGCGUUACAAACCAUGAUGUUUAGUAAUACCAUUGGUAGUAAAUGGGAAACUAUUUGCUACUCCUAGCCUAGCAUGCAAGUUCCAUUGACUUGGACUAAUUGCAAAUGACUACGUGCUUGGGGCAACUUGAGUGCGUGGUUGAGCCAAAGUGGGUGAAAGCCCUAUACCGUGCAGGCAUUGGUAUUACGAAUUAUGGAUGGCAUCCUUUAUGGGGUGUCAAAUUUGUUAGAGUCGAGUUGCUUGAGAGUGCAACUUAAAGUGCGAGGUAAACUACUCGUAAGGCUACGCAAUACGGCUACGACACCGAUAGCAAACAAGUACCGUGAGGGAAAGUUGAAAUAGAACUUUGCAGAGAGAGUUAACAGGGCGUGAAACCGUUAAUUGGCAAACGAAUCGGAGCCACGAAGUCGUUUCGUUGAUAAGUUGGGCCAAGUUCAGCUUAAAAUCCAAAAGAUUUUAAGUGUAUUCUUGUUAGUCUAACCUAAAAAUCAUUGUAAGCGUACACUGCAACCAGUUAGACAAUUGACGAUGGGCAUAGUUGAAUUCCGACAGUUUACUUGAGGGAUUUUAACGAAGCAUUUGUUUAUUCAGGCCAGUAGUAGUGUGGUGUCGUUUCGGCGGCAUUGUGUUGCUGGGUUUGUGAUAAGUGAACUAUCAUCAAAUACUGACUGGCAAAAUGAAAAUCGCACUCUUUUGAGCGUUACAUAAAAUGCAUUUCCUUAUAAUAGUGUCUACAUGUUUGACCAUGGGGUUUGAAGCUCAGCAUUUUUGAAUUUGGACUUGCUAGCUACCAGUGGGGCAACUCCUGGUGCUAGUAUAGCUUUCAUCUAAUCGGGUGUUGACUUGAUUCUAUGUUGUUUAAAUAUGAUACGAUUGGAUAUUAUUAUAAUGGAAUUCGCAAUUAAA
rnacentral:rRNA from 1 species